rnacentral:rRNA from 1 species
GACAGAGGAGGCAAGCGUUGUCCGGAUUGACUGGGCGUAAAGCGUCCGCAAGUGGUCGCGCAAGUGCGCUGUGAAAGCGGCCCGCUCAACGGGCCGAGGCCAGCGCAGACUGCGCAACUCGAGGUCGGGAGAGGUCGGUGGAAUUGCCGGUGUAGUGGUGAAAUGCGUAGAGAUCGGCAGGAACACCCAAGGGGAAGCCAGCCGACUGGCCCGCACCUGACACUCAGGGACGACAGCGUGGGGAGCGAACCGG